GGACAACGCACCCGCGAAACGGCUCCGAGUAACGGCUCCGAAUCCAGCCUUCUGAUUGGACAGCGGGAGCGAGAGGCGGGAUGGGCUUUGCGUAACAGACCGCGGUGUGUUGUGGGAAGAGACGGGAUCCCCCUCCUUCUCCUCCAAGUGUUGAUCCUUCAGAGCGGAGCCGAAAACCUCAGUGAACAGCGGCGCGGCCAGCCUGAGCGGCCUGUCCGCAGAAGGACGGGCUUCAUUUACACAAAACCAGACCAGCAGCUCCGCUGUGGUCGCAGCAGAAACGAGCUGGGAGGAAAACGCUCGUUUCCCCCUCAGAGUAGCGUACUGUACCGCCAGCAGCGCGGCGCGCGCGGCUCCAGGUCCAGUUCCAGUUCAUACGCCACAUCCAUCGCUCCUGUCCUGCGGGACGAGCUACAAGUCGCCGCUGAGGAAAACCAGAAAACACGUCAGACGAAGGAAGCAUAGACAGACUACUGCAGCCGCCUGAAGGCAAGGAAGGAAGCAUCUCGGAAAAGCGCAGAUAAGCAAGUUCAAGGUAAUUUUGCAUUCAUUUAAAUUAAAGAAGUAAAAUUUUCUGUAUCAUUUCAUGAAUUCAUCACUUUUGGUACCAGCUGACAUUUUUAUAAACUCUCCUUUCAGCUGGAAAACGGCGUUCGUCUGUUUAUUUUGGGCACGUUAGACUGACCCCUUCCUGGUGUGAAUGUCAAGCCACAUGUCCCCUAAUAUGGAUUUGUGGUCUGGGUUUAAUACAGAAAGAUGGCGAGUGGCAUCAAAGUCCCUGGUUUGUGGUUAACCUGUAGCUUUAAUUUGCGCUCUAGCUGGGCUAUAGCUGAAUAAAAUGACAGCGCUUGUAAAUUUGGCAAGUGGUUCCUGAUGUUUGUAGGGUAGUUAAUAAAAAAUGCAGUCAACUACGCAACUUUUAACUCUUCGCCAUAUUCUUCACUUCAUAACGUUCCUAUUCCAUAAGCUCCAUUCAGAAGCUGGGCGUCGUGUGAGGCUGUAGCUCUUCUCUCCAGUCUAAUAGACGGUGAUGUCAUUUUAAACCCUUAUAAUAAAAGAAGCUGAACUUUGUUUUUCUACUGAAAGUCGACCCGUUUUUCCCCAAAUCUGGGCUCUAAACUAUAAACAGACGGCGUCUCUUCAGUGAUCUGCUCUGGAAACAUCACUUUUAGAAAAUAACACAAAGAGCGGCGCAGAUUUUUGGCUUUCAGCAGUAAACUGUAAUAUGUGUAGAUCAUAAAAAAUAAAAUAAAUAAAAUUCACAUUUAUUUCAUGCAGUAAUUUGCCUUACGAUUUGGUCACAUAAAUUCAGAUGGACAAACCAAAAUAGACCCUGGUGGUUCCAAAGAGGCUAAAAAGGAUAAGGGUCUAGAAAUAUUUGACGCAGUACACCCGGAAAGACACACGCGCACACACACACACACACACACACACACACACACACACACACACACACACACCUCUGCUCUAUUUGCUGUGUCCGAAGAGAUGGCAGUAUGGACCAUAAAGUCAGAAUAAAGCACAAAGUCAAUA
ensembl:lncRNA